rnacentral:rRNA from 1 species
ACAGCAGCCGCCGCGGGAAUACGAGGGGGGCAAGCGUUGUUCGGAAUUAUUGGGCGUAAAGGGCGCGUAGGCGGUUUGACAAGUCUGAUGUGAAAUCUCUGGGCUCAACCCAGAGUCUGCAUCGGAAACUGUCGAGCUUGAGUAUGGGAGAGGUGAGUGGAAUUUCCGGUGUAGCGGUGAAAUGCGUAGAUAUCGGAAGGAACACCUGUGGCGAAAGCGGCUCACUGGACCAUUACUGACGCUGAGGCGCGAAAGCUAGGGGAGCAAACAGGAUUAGAUACCCCAGUAGUCCCUGUCUCUUAUAA